AUCCAGUUGAGUAGUCCCAAAUAGGACGAAAAGCGCGUCCUGGAU
rnacentral:hammerhead_ribozyme from 1 species